AGUUAGAAAAAGGUGUUUGCGAAAAAGGAUGAUGAUGAUGAUUGCAAGAAUGAGAAAAAGGACAAGAGAGCAUGUGAAGAUUGCCUUUCCUUCAAGUAAGCAAAGAGUCCAUCAUUUCACCUUUGAAAUCUCCUUGCCCUGCAUGUCCCACUCAACCUCUUCAAUCGGUGGACUUGAAUCUUUCUUUUUCUUUUUGGAAGAACUGUUUGAAGCUAUUACUACUACCAGUGCUAUUUCCUUGGGGAUGCAGGGGUAACGCAUACCCCUAAACAUUUUGUGAAUCUAAGUUUGGCCAGAUUAAGAAUGAUCAUUGUGGGAGGUGAGCAUGUGAAAAGUCCCCUUCCUUCAGCUAAUUGCAAGGGUCCAGCAAUGUGGUGGGGACAGGUGAGGGGUGAGUUAUUUACCUGAGGGAUACAUCCCCCUAGCACUGCCUAUGUGGGGCAUUGCAUCCUCCUCAAAAAGGUUUCAUUUGAUUUAAGCUAUCUCCCUCUGAAACAUGAAUAUAGCACACCUGAAUGUUUGUGAUCUUGUGUGGAAACUGCUAUGACUGACAGAAUGCAGGAAUGCCUUUGCAGAGGCACGUGAUUUUGGUAACAUUCUUGUCCACGUCAGCCUAAGUCACAACGUCCCCAAAAAAUUACAUUUAUGCAAUCUGCUUCUCCCUCCCAGCCCUCUCUUGGCAAUCUUUGGGGCUCCAUUUCGCUUAAAAGCUGGCUUUGCCUGGCUUUGCCACCACAAUUCAUCCUGAGCCAUGAAGAUCCUUCACCUGUGCUUGGCAGUUCUCUCUUUGCUGCUCCUGGCUUCCCCAGGUAAGGGAUGGAGAGGAAGAAAACAGAGGGACACCUGCCAGCCGAUUGUGGGGUGGAAGAGGGAGAGGAGUACAGUUGCUGUUCUGUGGCCUUGCAAAGGAAGCUCACUUUUCUUGCUAGAGACAUUUCUUUAGUGGUAAAAUUAGCAUAAAAAUGUAUAUAUCAGACAAAACUGCCUACAAGGGUGCAUCUAUUAGGGGAUAUAUGCACUGUGUUGCUGAAUUUCCCCCAUUAUGCCCAUAAUUGCGAUGCAAUUUGCCAAGUUAUAACCUAUAUUUUCAUGCUAUUGUCAUGAAAUUACACCUUUUCAUGUACAUUUUUAAAAUACAUUACUUGGAGGGAGAGCUGCCUUUCAGAGGACGGCUGUGCUUUGAUGUUCACAUGUUGACUUCAUUAUGGCAGAGUAAUAUAAGGAAAAAGGGACGUGGGUGGCCCUGUGGUUUAAACCACUGAGCCUCUUGGGCUUGCAGAUCAGAAGGUUGGUGGUUUGAAUCCCCACGACGGGGUGAGCUCCCAUUGCUCGGUCUCUGGUCCUGCCAACCUAGCAAUUCAAAAGCACAUCAAAGUGCAAGUAGAUAAAUAGGUACAGCUCCGGCAGGAAGGGAAACGGCGUUUCCGGGUGCUGCUCUGGUUCACCAGAAGCAGCUUAGUCAUGCUGGCCACGUGACCCGGAAGCUGUCUGUGGUCAAACGCCGGCUCCCAGAGUUGUCUGCAACUGGAAUUAACUGUCAAAACAGUCCUUUACCUUUUUAUUAAUAUAUGGAAAAUGGCAUCGCAUGUAAAACUGGUAAGGAAAAAGAAAAGCAGCCUCUUCUUUUCUCAGUUUGGUUAGAUUUUAUGCAAUUCUAUGCAAAUUUAUGGAAUACGUUUUAGAAAAUAAAAUUUUGAUUUGUCUCUUCCACAGGUCUGCCAAUAAAUUUGGGGUAUAAAGUUUCUAAUUAGUGGGAAAUGUUUCUUGAUGUAGUAUACAGCCUUUUAUUCUGGGUAGUCCUUGGGGCUCUGAUGGCUUCAGUUCCAGGCUUUAGAUUCUCUAUAACGUAUAAGCCAUGUGUGCCUCACUUCUUGCUGUCGUGUUUCGUAGACUGACACCCUCCACUCAGGAGCAAAUAUCUGGAUAAGCAGAUUGACCAUUUCUUCUUGUGAAUGUAGCAAGCGUGGUAAACACCAGUGGCCAGUGGCAAGGGGUGGGGUGGGGGUAGGAGUUGGGAUGCCACAGCACCCAGAGCGUCACAGAGCCACUCCUGUUCAAAGGGCUGUGGAGUUGUUCCUCUCUUUCAUUUUAUUGUGAAUUAACUUCCUUCUCCCCACUUAUGUUUGUUUCUCUCUUUGCACAGGAUCUGCACAAGACGAUGAACCUCAGAAUAGAAGGCAAUGCUUUAAAACCAAUGGUAUUUGCUUCCCAAUGGUAUUGGGUUGUCCCAAUAAUACUAAGAAGAUUGGAAGGUGUAGUGAUUAUUAUUCCUGUUGCCAAAGGUAAUUUCAGCUUACCAAAAGAGUAUUACACCUCCUGCACUUCUCCCAUUAGCCUCUGGAUUGAUCAUUUUAGGUACCCAAUGCAGAGUGCCCUAAACUGAUCAUCCUUUGCCUGCAAGCUCAAUUGCUCCAUUGCAAAAAUAAAAAUAAAAAUACCUAUGCCAGAAUGAGCCAAGGGUGGCACAUCCCAUUUUGCUGCUUGAUGCAAAAUGGUAAUGGCUGCUUUGCCAUUCUGCCAGGACGGCUCCUAAGCCCAUCUACCUGCUCCUCCUGCCAUGGCCUGAUCUGCCACUGACACACACCAUACCCUGUUGGUUGCAGGCACAGAAGCUGCACUACCAUUGUUGCCCAUUUUAAGCCAGAUUGUGCUGAGUUCUCUCACCAUAAGCAGAACCAGCAGGGCAGGAGGGGCACCAAUGGGUUUAUUGUCUGAGGGGCUUCUGCCACCAGAAGCAGGGUCCUCACCUGCCUCAUGGCUGGUCCAGCUGUCUUUGGCCCCUUUGCCCUCUGAGCUUAUGCCAGAUCUCCUUUGCCAAAUCCCUAAACCACACCGUAUGGGCACAUUUAAUUUGUUGUGCAGCUUCAUCCAUUGUUUAUCUCAGUGCCUAAGGGAUGUCCAUUCUGCAGCUUUAACAGAUGCUGGGCUCUUACUCUGUGUGGUGUCCUGCCCUCCACCGUUUAAGAUUACCUCAGUAUCACAUCCCAUACAUUCCAUGCAAAUCUCCCACUUUCAAUUCCAAGCAGAUUCAUUAUUAUUUUAUCUUUUAAUGAAAGAAGCUGAGGCAGUAGACUUUUGUCUUGGGUGCAUACAGAGAAAUUAGCAACUGGACUGAAUGAACCCAAGGGUGCCAGUUCUCCCGUGUUUCUCAAAACACUCUCACAAAAUGGGGUGCAAGCUUCCUGUUAACCCUGAACUCUUCUUCAGGGCCACAAAGACAACAAAUCCCUGCCGUGCAUAACAUCCAGUCUGCAGGAGAAUAUUGGAAUCCUUGCAAGCUCAUUCAUUAUUCCAUGACAUAUUUAAUUGUACCUAGAAAAGAAAGUCCCCCAGGGCUAGGGGUGUCUCAGAGACUGCAUUCAAUUCUCAUCGAAAGGGGAAUCUAUGUAAUUCAUAGUUUCUGGAAAUGAAAAACUGAAACAGACCUAUCCCUACCCAAUGGUUUAUUAUCAUGAAAACUUUCUUGUGGUCCAACAUGCCUUGCUUUGUAUUUUUGUGUCUCAAACAUGGUCACUUUGCUAUGAAACCAAGUUAACUGUUGUCUUUUUGUUGCUGGUUUCUAUGUUUUAGACAGAAGGAGUGAUAGAUGCCUUUGAAAAGUGGAAGAUGCUCCCUCUCUUUGAGAGCUGCUGGAUCCCGCUUCAUCCCCAGUUAGGGACUUCUUCUCCAAAGCAUCCAGAUUGAAAAAGCAACAUUUUCAAGGCUUACCUGAGCUUGUGCCUUGCAAUAAAAGCAGAUCCAAAAGCCUUUUCCCUCUGUUUUUCAUUUCUAAGCAUGAGUGUUCUUGCUAGUAAAGCCAAAAUGGCACCUUACGUCCAUGAGAAGGAGGUGUCAGCAAGCAUGGUUUGUGGAGAGGCCCAAAACGUCAUAAGAAAGGAAGACUAAAAGGGGAUGAGGAUCUCUCUAUACAGUCUAGCG
rnacentral:lncRNA from 1 species